rnacentral:rRNA from 1 species
UAGGGAAUCUUCCACAAUGGACGCAAGCCUGAUGGAGCAACGCCGCGUGAGUGAAGAAGGUCUUCGGAUCGUAAAACUCUGUUGUUAGAGAAGAACAUGCGAGAGAGUAACUGUUCUUGUAUUGACGGUAUCUAACCAGAAAGCCACGGCUAACUACGNGCAG